GGAGUUUCAAUAAGACUUUCAUACUAAGACAACAAAACAGAUCCUUUCCUUCUCAUGAGAAUCAUCUUCUUGGCUUUUUACGUACCUUUUGGGUUUUUGGAUAUUUGUUGCUUCUGUUCUUGGUUGUUUAAGUUCUUUACACUAGCUGGUGUAUCUCAUAUAAUAUCUUUACGUACGCUAGCUCUUAGAUCUUAUUUCUCGUCAACCUACAAGAGAAAAUGCGAAGCUGCGCAAUUAUAUUUUGUCACCCGGCGCAGUGGGGGUACUUCUUCAGCUAGCUGUUAAGUAACCCAUAUUCUGGAAUUCCGGUGGCUGGCUGAAAUCGAUUGUCAAUAUUCUGUAUCUCUUUGCCAUAUCAUUCCAUCAUUUUGUCUCUCUUUUGGGCAGAACCCGUAUUUUUUCUCCCUUUCAAAAGUGUCGAGCAAAAGGCAACAUGGACCUACUCAAGUGGCACUUCGUAGAGAGCCGCUAGUGAAAAAAGAAGAAGACAGCUACUUUUGUUUCGAUCCGCAAGAGAGACUAAUCCUCUUUUUUUUUCGCUGACAACCUUAUUAUUCCUCAGAUUUGAUUCUUUUCUACUCCAGUUAUUGUUGCUUUAGAACUUGAAAGAUAGAUUGUACGAAAAAAGCUUACAGCAACUUUAGGGUUUCCAUAUCCAAGAGAUCUCGUAAAAGGUGGAUAUAGUGCAUACAAUAAAAUGUGCGUGUCACAAAUUCAGGAAACAUUAGUUAGUGCAUUUAUAUAGCCGCUGCAUGAUUUUACGAAUUAGAUUAGCUGCUCAAAUCCAAAGGUCGAUACAAUCAUAUUUAUAUAUACACACACGCGCGCGAGGGACUCAGGCCACGUUUGACAAAUGAGUUUUUUGAGUGUUUGUCUAAAACUUUACUGUAGUUUACUGUAAAUGUUGUAAGAAAAAUUUUUGAAACGUAUAAAUUUUUGGAUAUUUUGAAAUGUAUAGCUUAAAAUUUUUAAGAAAUUUUUUGAAGUUACCAUAGUUAAAGUUGUUAAAAAACUUGUAGCAGGCAAACUAGGCCAAAAACUUAUACGCCAAACAAGUCCUUAAUUAGGAAUUCUACCUAAUUAGUCGAACAAGAAUUGAAAAGCACCUUUUCUUUAAUUAGAAAAUUCAAUCAAAAUUAGAUGCAAUUGAAACAUUAAAGAUCUUGACUCCAAAUUCUCCUGGUAUGGGUUUUAAUUAAAUUUGAAUGCCAUACGAACCAAAGAAAAAAUGGUGGCACGUACGACAAUAUUGUAAUGAAGUUGGGGAGACAAAUAAAACGAGUGACACAACCAUAUGGUGAUGCCACACGUUAUAAUUACGUCCCAUAUGAGUAUGUUUUUUAUCAUCAUUUUGUUUUUGUUUUUCAGCGGCAUGUUGGUCGCCAGCAGGAGGACAGAAUGGAAGAGACAUUUAACAUAAUUAUGAACUUUUUCGGUGCUCCGUGCUCGUGGAGGAUGAGCUUCAUAUAUAAGAUCACAACUACAGCCAAACUGGAAAAUCGAUCUCCGAAGUGAUUAACAGAGGGAAGUUUCAUGGAAUCACUGAAAACACCAGAACAUGACGACACACAUGGACAUGAUAACAAAGCGUUCAUUGAAGAAGAGAUAAUACAUGCAAGAUUGGCCAGCUGAACUUUCUCAAGCUUCGUACGUGUUGUAAGACAAAAUCGUACGCUACACACAUGGUUCCAUUUGAGCAUGUUCCCGAUUAAUGGGCCACCUUUAAAUCUGGAAUAUAUCCACCGUGAUGCUCUAUCCACCUCACUGGAAUUAUCUUAUGUGACGGAAUAAUCUUACUAUAAAUUAACUUGCAUGGGUUUAAUUAUGUUUUAUUAUUAUUUCUUUUUUUGGGAAGGGCUGGAGGUGUUUAAUUCGUUUAGAAAGUUUAUAUAUAGUUGGUUAAUUAGCUAUUUUGUUAGUACCAAGGUUCAGAAAAUCUAAAAGAAAACAGAAAAGAAUUUGAGAUGAUUCUUGUAAUAAAGUAUAUCAUUAAUUGGUGGUUUAUCAUUUUCUCUUGGCAAAUGAUUGGUCAAAACAUUUGUAUCCACUGAUUCGAUGAGCUUAACGUUAAUGUUCUCGAUCGGGACAGGUUUCAGGAGGGUGAUUGUUUCGUUUGGAAAGCUUGUUCUUGGUUAAUUAGCCACCAUGUUUGAAUCUAAGUUCAGAAAAGUCCCAAAGAGAACAGAAGAGAAUUUGAGAUGAUUCUCGUGAUCGAUCAUCUGUUUGUAUAUAGUUCACUCUUGACAAAUUAUUGUUGAAAACAUUUGUAUCCAGUUCCUAAUACUCGAUCUAGGGAUCGGUUUAAGAUCGCGUCA
rnacentral:lncRNA from 1 species